UCCUAUGGUAAACAAAAAAUCCUAAUCUAAUUUCUUAAUGGGGUUGAGAUCUUAAUUACUCAAUGAAGCCUUGUGGAUAUCAUAACAAACCUCAAUGAGUUCAAAGAUAUAAAAACCUAUUCAAUUGCAUCUCAUGCAAUUCUCAACAUAAUUCUUGCCUCUAAAAAUACUUAUAGCCUUAUGGAUAUCACAACAUGCUAUAGUAU
rnacentral:lncRNA from 1 species